rnacentral:RNase_P_RNA from 1 species
AGAGUAAGUGAGGUGGUUGCAGAUUUGUAACUUGGGUGCAAAUCUGAGGAAAGUCCGGACUCCCGAAAGACCAGACUUGCUGGGUAAUGCCCAGUGUAGGCGACUGCGAGGAUAGUGCCACAGAAACAUACCGCCUUUUUCAGUAAACAGUGACCAGUAAGCAAAAAACUGAUAACUGGUAACUGAUAACUGAUAACUGAAGAAGGUAAGGGUGCAAAGGUGCGGUAAGAGCGCACCAGCAGUAUCGAGAGGUGCUGGCUCGGUAAACCCCGGUCGGGAGCAAGGUCGGAGGGACAAUGGUUGGUUUUUUUCCAGUCCCGUUGUGGUGAACCGCUAGAGGUGUCUGGUAACAGUCAUCCCAGAUAGAUAACCACCCUCGAAGUAGAGAUGCAGUUAUUCUAGAUCUUUACAAAGAGAACAGAAUCCGGCUUACGUUCUUACUCUCUCU